UCUCUCAAUUACAACCGAAGAGUUUGCGGAGGACCCCCUACCACGCAGGUUUAUCUCUCAUUUACAACCGAAGAGUUUGCGGAGGACCCCCUACCACGCAGGUUUAUCUCUCAUUUACAACCUUUUAACACAGCUAGCAAAUUCGUUCAACACACGAGGCAAGCAGGAAUAUCUCUAACAACUUUGUAACCUUAAAGAAUUCCUUCUCUACCCCGCAGAGAACAGGCAACACAGCCCCACUCGAAGACACGUGUACACAAAACCGAAACAAACAAUAAACCAACAAUA
ensembl:lncRNA